UUCCCAAUUAGUUUUAUUAAAAGGCCAAGCCCAGUAAAACAUUCUGAAUUACAAAACAAAAGCCCAAAAACGACGGGCACAAAAGCGGAAAGGAAAUGGGCUAGGCCCAAACUUCUAAAGACCGGAACUACCGCCCCAAACGUCGACACCAUCGAUACCAUCGUGCCCACGUGUCUAAAUCACAAACCCGGAAGACACGCGUCACUCCAUCUCUUCACCUUCACAACCACCGGCGACCUCAACGGCGUUUCACCGGAAUCACCCCUGAACCAUCAUCCUUCAUCGCAUCCGGAACACACCGGAGCCCAUGAGCUACAUCCAUCUUCACCGCAACCGCAUCAGCUCGUGUCUUCUUUAUCAGAGAGAGUCAAUCGCAAGAGCAAGAUCUCAUCCACCACCAUUCGAGCAUACACAGAGCAAAAGCAUCGCGCAGACCAUAAAACAACUUUCAUCGGAGAGCUUCUCUCGCUCUACGACGAGAGCUCAAGCCACCGAAUCCAACUCGACACCGCAAUAAGAAGAACAAAUAUAAUGACACAACCCUAAAACAGAUCUAGAAAAAACAAAACCGAAGAGGCAAGGAGAGGAAAACCUUCACCCCUCGGGGACCAAACCGGAGACCAUUGGAGCUUUAGAAGCCUCCACCUUCCCGGGAUCUUUGCCGGCGACGCGAAGCUGAGAAAGCCUCCACCUUCCCGGAACCUUAGUCGGCGACUACAGAGCUAUAAAAGCCUCCAUAUCCCGGAGCAGAUACUGAACUCGAAAGCUGGCUGUCACGUCGAACCAUCGUCCUACCUCCUCACCGCGAAGCCAGAGGGAGAUGAGUUACCGCCGUUCAAAAACCCCCCACGAGCGGCCUUUCCCGGAGCAAAACCCUAGCCCAGAACCGCUAGUAUAUCGGAGCGAGACCACAGAUCGGAGCACACAGUCAGAGGACUGGACUGAAUAAACCAAACGGGAACCUCCGGCGCCGGCACGCGCUCGGACGCGCCACCGGACGCCGGGGUUUCCUACACACACGCUCUCUCUUCUCUCUUCUCUUGUGGCCCGCUUUGUAAGUUGAUUCUUAUCAAGCAGUCUUGUUUCUAUCUACUGUUUUCCUUUGAAUGACUUUACUUGCUCCAUAUUUUCUUUGUUUUCAUUUAUCACUCAAUAGUUGAAUAAUACGAAUAUAGUUGGAAAUCGGUGGAGACCUCCACCCAAGUGUCAAUCAGAGUCAGUACAGUUCUGCCACAGUGCUACUGAUUUAACUAAUCUUCUGAACGACAACGCCGCUCCAAACAUUUUAUAUGGUAACUUAUAAAUUAUUCAUUAAUACGUAUAUAAUUUUUGUGAACAUCUAUUAUACUAUUUAUGACUGUUAUUGAAUUAUAUGGCAUUGUUAAAUAGAUUAUGUUGCGAACUGAUCAUGUUACAACGGAGAAAUAAACCCUAAUGAUUUUGUUUCAAUUGCUCAGUUAAUUUGCAAUUUUCUAUGAUCGCAAAACCAUAGUUCAAUUAAUGAGUUUCUGUGGUAAACGAAGAAUUUAACUUUCGUUAAUUCCUCACUCAGCCUUUCUUAAUAAAGGGAUACUUUUUUUUUGGUAAAAAUGUUAAGAUUUUAUACCAUUUUCAGAUUUUUGACAGAAUUUACAUAGACACUAGUAGCAGAGAAAUUUAAACUAAGCAACACAGGGGAAGAGAAGAAAGAAAGCAACAUAAAGAGACCUAAGAAACAAUCAGACAAUUUUAACUCAUAGAACUAAAAAGCAGAACAGAGGCUAGAGCUUGACCAAAUGAAUGCAUUGCCAAAUGGAGAUGAUAUCUUUGAUGAUAUAUGAGACCACGCUGCAGUAGAAAUUGGCUUGCCCGCUAACGCUGCUCCAAAUGAUUGAUACCAUUGCCGGACAGCUUUGCACUCCUCAGUCGACGAACUUCAAACCUGCAAACCACCACCGGUAGUAGGAGACUGAGCUUCGAGAACUCAACCGGAGACCAUUGGAGCUUUAGAAGCCUCCACCUUCCCGGGAUCUUUGCCGGCGACGCGAAGCUGAGAAAGCCUCCACCUUCCCGGAACCUUAGUCGGCGACUACAGAGCUAUAAAAGCCUCCAUAUCCCGGAGCAGAUACUGAACUCGAAAGCUGGCUGUCACGUCGAACCAUCGUCCUACCUCCUCACCGCGAAGCCAGAGGGAGAUGAGUUACCGCCGUUCAAAAACCCCCCACGAGCGGCCUUUCCCGGAGCAAAACCCUAGCCCAGAACCGCUAGUAUAUCGGAGCGAGACCACAGAUCGGAGCACACAGUCAGAGGACUGGACUGAAUAAACCAAACGGGAACCUCCGGCGCCGGCACGCGCUCGGACGCGCCACCGGACGCCGGGGUUUCCUACACACACGCUCUCUCUUCUCUCUUCUCUUGUGGCC
rnacentral:lncRNA from 1 species